AGUACGAUUCCUCGUGAAUGUUUGGAGAAAAUUCGAAUGAUAAACGUAAAAAUCUUCGCGUCAUGGUAACUGCACUCAAAUGAGCACCGAACGAUGAGCGUCUCCAUAUUUUUCUCAAACUUUUUACUCAUUCGAAUUGCCAAUUCCACUUUCCGAUCCUAAAGGAUUUUCUAGAUUUGCCAAAGUAGCAAGAUAUUUGUGGAGACAUCAACCACUCCAAUAUGCAGCUUGAUGGGGAAUGUUAUGCAGACAACAAUAAACUUUCUACCUCAUACUGCCAACUCUAGGUCCCAGAAUGCCAUGGAUGCUGGUGGCUUCGCUGCUCUGGAACCCUCACCUGUCUUACCCCUUGGUAUCAAGAAAGAUUCAGAAUUGAUUCCAAAAGCAAUGUUUAGCAAGUAUCAUGCUUCACACAGCCUUGGAGAUUCAAAGAUACAGGGUUGAACAAGGCUAUGACUAUAACUCUAGCAUAAAUGAUACAAUGUGCGAGACAGGAAAUCAUCAAUAUUGUUUGUAUUCAAAGUGGGUGAUCAUUAUGUUCAAUUCCAUCGCCUUUUUUUCUUGUUGGUAGCAUCGCUGAUGAGACUCUUCAACAAGCUUCUACUCAGGCCAUUGUUACAAGCUGCAGUAUUUUCAAUGGUUGGAGCUUACCUGUGUCUUGCUUAUCCUAGCCCCUGUUGGCAGGUGCUUUAUUCACCACCAGAUUCAUGGCAUAUGGAAUAACACCAGGCAAAGCUUCUCUUCUGCUGUAGAAUUAAAGACUAAUCUUCCAAUGCCUAAAGAAAUGUAGGAGUUAUCAAAUAUAUGUGAAUGUUUGAAGUACUCGUGUGCCUUAAUGUUUGAUAAUUAGUACUCAAACAGUUGAUUUACAGAAUA